GACGAACGCUGGCGGCGUGCUUAACACAUGCAAGUCGAACGGAAAGGCCCUGCUUUUGUGGGGUGCUCGAGGGGCGAACGGGUGAGUAACACGUGAGUAACGUGCUCUUGACUUUGGGAUAACUUCAGGAAACUGGGGCUAAUACCGGACAGGAGAUCCUGUAGCAUGGUGGGGGUUGGAACGUUUCGGCGGUUGGGGAUGGACUAGCGGCUGAUCAGCUUGUUGGUGGGGUAGUGGCUUACCAAGGCUUUGGCGGGUAGCCGGCCUGGGAGGGUGACCGGCCACAUGGGGACUGAGAUACGGCCCAGACUCCUACGUGAGGCAGCAGUGGGAAAUAUUGCACAAUGGGCGGGAGCCUGAUGCAGCAGCGCCGCGUUCGGAAUGACGGCCUUCGGGUUGUAAACCGCUUUCGCCUGUGACGAAGCGUGAGUGACGGUAAUGGGUAAAGAAGCACCGGCUAACUACGUG
rnacentral:rRNA from 1 species